CUGGGACUCCUGGCAGCUCAGCCACACGCGUUCUUCUCCCUCCGAGCUGUGACCCUGCCCGUCUGCUUCUGAUCUGAUGCUCUGGGGAAGGGGCGUGUCCCCGUGUGACCAGCUGGCGCUGGGGCCCAGGCAGCGGGAGUGACACCUCAGAGAGACUCCCUGGACAGCCCUGCUCCUGUGCAGCCUCCCACAGACCCAGAGGGACCCUGAGUCAGCCCGGAUCGUACCAUGAGCGGCGGCCUCCUGUGCUGCGUGGCCUUGUGUCUCCUCCGUGCAGGUCUGGGGAUGGCCGGCGUCACUCAGUCCCCGACAUUCCAGGUCGUGACAACAGGACAGACAGUGACCUUGAGUUGUGCCCAGGACUUGAACCAUGACAACAUGUACUGGUACCGACAGGACCUGGGUCAUGGGCUGAGGCUGAUCCAUUACUCAGUGGGUGUUGGGUUCGAGGACAAAGGAGAUGUCCCCGAUGGGUACAGCGUCUCUAGAUCAGAUAUAAAGAACUUCCCCCUCACGCUGGAGUCGGCCACCCCCUCCCAGACAUCUGUGUACUUCUGCGCCAGCAGUGAACCCACAGUGCUGCACGGCCGCCUCCUCUCUGCACAGAAAGCUGGGGUUGCCCUCUAG